CCUAGCGCACUUUGUGGCGAAGUUAACGCGAUAAGUCGACCGCCUGGGGAGUACGCCCGCAAGGUUAAAACUCAAAUGAAUUGACGGGGGCCCGCACAAGCGGUGGAGCAUGUGGUUUAAUUCGAUGCAACGCGAAGAACCUUACCUACUCUUGACAUCCUGCGAACUUGUGAGAGAUCACUUGGUGCCUUCGGGAGCGCAGAGACAGGUGCUGCAUGGCUGUCGUCAGCUCGUGUUGUGAAAUGUUGGGUUAAGUCCCGUAACGAGCGCAACCCUUGUCCUUAUUUGCCAGCGGGUAAUGCCGGGAACUCUAAGGAGACUGCCGGUGACAAACCGGAGGAAGGUGGGGACGACGUCAAGUCAUCAUGGCCCUUACGAGUAGGGCUACACACGUGCUACAAUGGCCGGUACAAAGGGUUGCGAGCUCGCGAGAGUCAGCUAAUCCCGAAAAGCCGGUCUCAGUCCGGAUCGGAGUCUGCAACUCGACUCCGUGAAGUCGGAAUCGCUAGUAAUCGUGAAUCAGAAUGUCACGGUGAAUACGUUCCCGGGCCUUGUACACACCGCCCGU
rnacentral:rRNA from 1 species